CUUACAAACGACGCCGCCAGCGAGGGAAAUUCGCACCGAAAAAAGCUCAAAACACUUAUUUCUUCCAUUAGAAAUUCGUUUUCCAUUUUUUCCCUUUUACUUUCAGCCGAAAAUCCCCCAAAAUACACUGGCUAAGCUCGUGGUGAACCGGGUGGACCUAACAUACGAAAAUCCCAUUAUUGAAUUACCCACCGUACUACCCCUGUUCCGCUGGGCAUGAACCUUCCUUCUCCCGGUGGCAAAUAUGCGCCGGACCUAAACGACCGCCACACAGUCAGCAGCAACAUCAUGGAAAAGGAAAAUCUUUCUCCCGCCGAACCUUCUGUAUCCUUUUAACUGUGGUGGUGAUUCUCCCUCCCGCUUCUCCACCAGCCAGUGCAAAUUGUUGCGGUUGUUUGCAGAAAAGAAAAGCGCCGCGGCGUUGGGGGCGAGAAACAACCGAAAAAAAAGGAAUCCACACAGACACAAAUGGAGACUCCAGUGAAUAAAAUGCAACAUUCAAAAACCAAUCUACAGAAUGUGCCCGAAGAAUGCCCGGCCAACCACGUGGCAGUGCUUCGUGCGAACCUCUGGCGUCCCCUCAAUCCCGGCGGUGGCUUUCCCCGGGAUUUGCCGUGCCUCGGAGUUCGGCUCCGUGUCUCGGCAUUGAUGCAGGCGAGCCGUGUUGGUACGGGAUCCUUGGAACCUCUUUACCCAGCGCGUUUUGCUAUUCAUUCGCAUUUUGGAUGGAUUUGAAUUGCCAAGAAGAAACAAUAACCGAAUCUGAGGAUUUUGCAGCGACUUGUUGGGGGGAGAGUUCUCUUCCCCAAGUCUUCAGAACAAAAGAUGUUAUAAGUUUCAGGGGGGAAAUGGUCGGUAGACGCUGCCCCGGACAUAAUGGACAAGGCCAUUUCAAAAUCGAAAAGACGUGCUAGCUCAGCUUGAAAUGAUAAUCAGGCUGCUGGAACCGCAUUGACGCUUGUUAUCGGUUACUUCAUUUCCGUUUGGCGGAUGGCGGUCACGGUUCUCAUCAAUCUUGGGCUUUUAGAUUCGAGAGCAAGUAAAAAAAAAGCUAAAGGUUCUGGACUCCUAGAUACUGGCG